UACGUAGGGUCCGAGCGUUGUCCGGAAUUAUUGGGCGUAAAGAGCUCGUAGGCGGUCUGUCGCGUCGGCUGUGAAAACCCGGAGCUCAACUCCGGGCCUGCAGUCGAUACGGGCAGACUGGAGUUCGGCAGGGGAGACUGGAAUUCCUGGUGUAGCGGUGAAAUGCGCAGAUAUCAGGAGGAACACCGGUGGCGAAGGCGGGUCUCUGGGCCGAUACUGACGCUGAGGAGCGAAAGCGUGGGGAGCGAACAGG
rnacentral:rRNA from 1 species